AGAGCGAACGCUGGCGGCAGGCCUAAUACAUGCAAGUCGAACGGAUCCUUCGGGAUUAGUGGCGGACGGGUGAGUAACACGUGGGAACGUGCCCUUUGGUUCAGAACAACUCAGGGAAACUUGAGCUAAUACUGGAUAAGCCCUUCGGGGGAAAGAUUUAUCGCCAUUGGAGCGGCCCGCGUCUGAUUAGCUAGUUGGUGGGGUAAAGGCCCACCAAGGCUUCGAUCAGUAGCUGGUCUGAGAGGAUGAUCAGCCACACUGGGACUGAGACACGGCCCAGACUCCUACGGGAGGCAGCAGUAGGGAAUCUUGCGCAAUGGGCGAAAGCCUGACGCAGCCAUGCCGCGUGAAUGAUGAAGGUCUUAGGAUUGUAAAAUUCUUUCAGCGGGGACGAUAAUGACGGUACCCGCAGAAGAAGCCCCGGCUAACUUCGUGCCAGCAGCCGC
rnacentral:rRNA from 1 species